AUGAAGCUAGGAAGCAUUCUCCUAAUGGUAUGUGUUUUGUCUGCUCUCUUGAGCCACACUUACGAAUCUCCUACACCAAUUAGAGACGCAGAUGCUGAUGCUGGCCCCGGCUCCUUUUGUCCUAAAAGUUUGAUUUUGCCUGGAACAUGUCUUGAUACUUCUCGAACGUGUUGGGACGAACUCAAUGCUGCAUAUGGAGCAAGUGGCAUGGUUCAUCAAUGUACUUGUAAAGUUCUUUCGGAUAUUAAACGACUUUGUACUUGUUUAGUCAAAUGUUAA